rnacentral:rRNA from 1 species
UGGGGGAAUAUUGCACAAUGGGGGGAAACCCUGAUGCAGCGACGCCGCGUGAACGAAGAAGUAUUUCGGUAUGUAAGGUUCUAUCAGCAGGGAAGAUAAUGACGGUACCCGACUAAGAAGCACCGGCUAAAUACGUGCCAGCAGCCGCGGUAAUACGUAUGGUGCAAGCGUUAUCCGGAUUUACUGGGUGUAAAGGGAGCGCAGGCGGUGCGGCAAGUCUGAUGUGAAAGCCCGGGGCUCAACCUGGGAACAGCAUACUAAACUGGUGGACUAGAGUAUUGCAGGGGGAGACGGAAUUCCAGGUGUAGCGGUGGAAUGCGUAGAUAUCUGGAAGAACACCAAAGGCGAAGGCAGUCUCCUGGGCAAAUACUGACGCUCAUAUGCGAAAGCGUGGGUAGCAAACAGGAUUAGAUACCCUGGUAGU